rnacentral:rRNA from 1 species
UGGGGAAUUUUGGACAAUGGGCGAAAGCCUGAUCCAGCAAUGCCGCGUGUGUGAAGAAGGCCUUCGGGUUGUAAAGCACUUUUGUCCGGAAAGAAAUCCUUGGCUCUAAUACAGUCGGGGGAUGACGGUACCGGAAGAAUAAGCACCGGCUAACUACGUGCCAGCAGCCGCGGUAAUACGUAGGGUGCAAGCGUUAAUCGGAAUUACUGGGCGUAAAGCGUGCGCAGGCGGUUUGCUAAGACCGAUGUGAAAUCCCCGGGCUCAACCUGGGAACUGCAUUGGUGACUGGCAGGCUAGAGUAUGGCAGAGGGGGGUAGAAUUCCACGUGUAGCAGUGAAAUGCGUAGAGAUGUGGAGGAAUACCGAUGGCGAAGGCAGCCCCCUGGGCCAAUACUGACGCUCAUGCACGAAAGCGUGGGGAGCAAACAGGAUUAGAUACCCCUGGUAGUCCACGCCCUAAACGAUGUCAACUAGUUGUUGGGGAUUCAUUUCCUUAGUAACGUAGCUAACGCGUGAAGUUGACCGCCUGGGGGAGUACGGUCGCAAGAUUAAAACUUAAAGGAAUUGACGGGGUCAUAGCUGUUUCCU